rnacentral:rRNA from 1 species
UGGGGAAUUUUGGACAGUGGGGGCAACCCUGAUCCAGCAAUGCCGCGUGAGUGAAGAAGGCCUUCGGGUUGUAAAGCUCUUUUGUCAGGGAAGAAACGGUAGUAGCGAAUAACUACUACUAAUGACGGUACCUGAAGAAUAAGCACCGGCUAACUACGUGCCAGCAGCCGCGGUAAUACGUAGGGUGCAAGCGUUAAUCGGAAUUACUGGGCGUAAAGCGUGCGCAGGCGGUUGUGUAAGUCAGAUGUGAAAUCCCCGGGCUCAACCUGGGAAUUGCAUUUGAGACUGCACGGCUAGAGUGUGUCAGAGGGGGGUAGAAUUCCACGUGUAGCAGUGAAAUGCGUAGAUAUGUGGAGGAAUACCGAUGGCGAAGGCAGCCCCCUGGGAUAACACUGACGCUCAUGCACGAAAGCGUGGGGAGCAAACAGGAUUAGAUACCCUCGUAGUCCCUGAGCGGGCUGGCAAGGCGCAU